CUUUAGACUCAGUCCCUCUAUUCCUUAGUCCGUGGUGUAAACUCAAUUGUACUCAGUGACAAAUACGCAGGAGAAUGGGUUGGUAUUCCUUAAGAGACGUAUUGAGUUAACCUAAAAAGUCCAUUAAGUGCCUUGUACAAAAUAAAAUAACGCCUGUAUUGUGGUUUAUUACAAACUCAAGAUCUAAUAAGCGAUCUUAAUAAAGAAGGCCAGGAUCAGUAUUACAAACUCAAAAUCUAAUAAGCGAUCUCAAUAAAGAAGGCCAGGAUCAGAGGUGUUAAGGCCGGCGACUUCGGUCACUUGCCAACAGUAGUAGGAUUUGAGCAUUCUAAAUUGUUCAUUCCACGCGGUGCGCCACGCGGUGAGACGACAACAAAAAUACUGAGUACCUGAUAAACGGGAGGCAGAAGAAAGAAAAUAUCAAGAACACUCAUAAUGUAAAGAUUCUGCCACGCAUACGCGCGAAUCUGGCUCCACUUGUGACUUGUGUCGACACUGCGGAAAUAAAAGUUACAUUCGCCAUUGUACGUGAUUGUAGAUUGUUAGACGUUUGACUACUUAGUGAAAUCUUUGUGCAUUGUCUUCUGUAUCUUCAUACAAUGGCGUUCAGUAUAUUUGAGUUUGAAGACGGAUAUUUUAAUUUAGUCUGUACAAAAUGGUUGCAAGAAAACAAAGAAAAAGACACUUUAACAUGUUUUUGGCCAAAUGUGAAAACUGAAAAGUAUUUCAAAAUAGUUAAGAAUCUUAUUGAUCCAGAAGAAAAAAAUGGGAUAAAGUCAAAGUUAUUAAAAUUUUAGGUUGUUAUGACUCAUAUGACAAUGCUCGUAUAAAACUAAAGGAUGCUGAAAUUCAAACAGAUAUAAGCACUGAUUCUGAAUUAAGAGGGAAAGGAAAACGUCGAAGAAAAGCUAUUCACAGAUACGGUUUGAUACUGAUGUAGAAGGUGAUGUAGAAGAUGAUGUAGAGGAUGAUGUAAAGAAUAAUUCAAAGAGAAAAACCCUAAAACAAACAGUGCAUGCAAAAAAAAUUAACUUAUUUGUUCCUAAACCUCCUAAGGAACUAAUGCAAUUUCAAUAUACUACUCCUCAAAAAGAAAAAGAUGCUAUAAAAUCAGAUUUUUGCUCAAAACAACAGUUAAAACAAACAGACAAACAAGUGGCUUCAUCUGUUAGAUAUGAAUCAAUAAAAAAAAAGAAAAAUUGUGAUCUUGCUUCAGAAUGUAAUGAUUUUAAAAUGAGAGAAAAAAGGGCUGCUUGUACUAUCGCAUCACCUUUUACAUCUAUGAAGAAAAAUUCUGUUUUCAUUUCAAGAUCUCAUAAUUCACAAGAGGAAGAAAAAACAGCUGUUGGGUCACUUUCUGAAUUACAGCAAUUAGAAAAGUCUGAUAGAAAUGUUGCUUUGUUUCCUCCAAGUCCGUACAAAUCAUGGAAGAAACCCAAAAAAAUUUCUUCUGCUGCUAAGUCACUUUUGUUUGAAUCAAAAUAUAGAGAUAAAAAUGAUGCUACUUCAAGAUUUUUAUUUCAUGACUUUAGAAAAAAAGAAAAAAAAGCUGCCUCAAUAUUAACAACAUUUCCUAAAUCUAAAUCAUUGCAUGAAGAUGAAAAUGUUUUUGUUUCAAGAGUUAACAAGUCAAGAAAAAAAGAUAAAGUCAUUUCUUCUACAACAAUAAGCCCACUUCGUGAAUUAAUGGAUGAAAAUACUUCUAUACAAUCUCAUAAAUCACUUCAAUCAAUCACUAAGUCAACUUUAGAAAAAGAACCAUCCUCUAAUGAAGUAUUAGAAUCUAUAAGGAAUAUGUACGAAGUUAAUACAGCAGGUUAUUUCACGAUACCUUACAUUAAAGGAACUUCUGAUAAACUUACAAGUAAAAUGAAGAAACACAAUCUUAAUUUAG